rnacentral:rRNA from 1 species
UACGGAGGGGACUAGCGUUGUUCGGAAUUACUGGGCGUAAAGCGCACGUAGGCGGAUUUGUAAGUCAGGGUGAAAUCCCGGGCUCAACCUCGGAACUGCCUUUGAUACUGCAAUCUCGAGUCCGGAAGAGGUGAGUGGAAUUCCUAGUGUAGAGGUGAAAUUCGUAGAUAUUAGGAAGAACACCAGUGGCGAAGGCGGCUCACUGGCCCGGUACUGACGCUGAGGCGCGAAGCGUGGGAGCGAACAGG